GUGGGCCCAUAUUAAAUUAUCAGCAAUCUGGAUAGAUUACCAGCUACCAAAUGCAACCUAAGAGAGAUCGGUGUGGGCGAAGUUGGGAUAUGCGGCAGACCCCGGGACCACUGUGGACGGUCCUAGUGCCGAUGGGAGUAGCUUCGGUUAUGCUGGAGGUGCACGUGGGCUUCGACACCAUAGAUGACUUUGACCGGACUGGGAGCAGUCACAUGGGAGGCUUCGAUGCCGGUA
rnacentral:lncRNA from 1 species